rnacentral:rRNA from 1 species
GACGAACGCUGGCGGCGUGCCUAAUACAUGCAAGUCGAGCGAUGAAGAUUGGUGCUUGCAUCUAUUUGAAGAGCAGCGGACGGGUGAGUAACGCGUGGGUAACCUGCCUUUGAGCGGGGGAUAACAUCUGGAAACGAAUGCUAAUACCGCAUAAUAACUUUAAACAUAUGGUUCAAGAUUGAAAGAUGCAAUUGCAGCACCUAAAGGAGAUCCCCCGUUGUAUUAGGUAAUUGGGGAGGUAAAGGCCCAACAAGGCGAAGGUACAUAGCCCGCCCGGAAGGGUUGAUCGGCAACAUGGGAAGUGGGCCCCGGCCCAGACCCCUAGGGGAGGCAGCAGAAGGGAACUUUGGGCAUAGGGGGAAAGCCGGCCGAAGCAAGGCGGCGGGGGGGAGGAGGGUUUCCGGUUGUAAAACCCCUUUUAUAGGGGAGGAAGUUAGUGAGAGUGAAAAGCGCAUCAAGUGACGGUAACUACUCAGAAAGCGACGGCUAACUACGUG